GCUGGAUGUGACCUCAGACGGGGCUCCCUUCACACGGCAAAGACACCCCAAGGAGGCAACGCCAGAGGAACCAGGAUCGUCACAGCAGCCUUUUUUGUCUUAGCGAAGAACUUCACGAGUAGGGAGUCUGCGUGUGGGGAAUGCGCUGUGUCAAUGUAGCGGAAUGUUCCUCUCCCAUAAGACAUUAGGAGGAAUUCGAGGCCACCCGGGAAGAUUUGUACAACUGAGUCAGAGGGAAGGAAGGUGAAGCCGAGCAACGGGCAUGCUGACCAAAUUCGAGGAAGAAUCAUCAGAAUUGUGACCUCAGCAGGCAGCAGAAGCUGCCUCUCCUCUCAGUGGAAAUAUACUGGGUUAGAAACGGGUCUGCUUACCGAUCCUGACUCAGGUCUUCACAUUCAGACCAUCUGCCAAGGGAGCGGAAGUGCAGGAACGGAUGAAGGGAUCUGUUCUUCAGGUACGAUUUCAAAUGAUGUGGAAUUCAAGAGAAUGCCAAGGAAGCUGGAGAAAUUUUGCCAAGGUGCCUACCAUUCUAUGCAACUAAAUGGCUUGAGGAGGGAAUGAAAGCAAAGUAAAAUGCUCACCAAAGAGGGUCCAGAAGGCCUGCUGACUGGGUUCGGAGAUCCAGAAUGGAUUCUGGGAGGACCAGACAAUGCCCAGCAGCAGCAGCCGGAGCAUCCCGCUGCCUAUACUGUUAUUAGUGUUCUGCUGCCAUGAAGGCUGAGUGACAGUGGCCUGAGCCCUUUCAAACAACAGAAACAAGGUCAAUUUUGGUAAUGAGGAAAUGGAAGUGGCGGCCCAGAAGGUCAUCAACCCUUCCAGUUCCUUGUGUGAUGAAGGAUCAGGGGAAAUGCUCUGGGAAAUUAUGGUGUAGGGACACAGUGACAUCGCCAUCAUACAAGAGAGAGCUGGGCAAGAAGUCCCCAAAGCAGGGGAAUGUGUGGAAAGCCAUCCAAAGCUGUUCCCUGUCCUCAGACUGAGAUGUUGGCUCCAGAGGAUUGCAAAGAAAACCAAGACAAAGAUCCUUAAGUAGGCUCAUCCCUCUUUUACAAUAAAAAUUAAGGUAAACUGA